GGAUAGCUCAGUCGGUAGAGCGUGAGACUUAUCUCAGAUUUGUGGGUUCAAGCCCCACAUUGGGUAGAUGACCC